UACGGAGGGGGUUAGCGUUGUUCGGAAUGACUGGGCGUAAAGCGCGCGUAGGCGGGCUGGAAAGUUGGGGGUGAAAUCCCGGGGCUCAACCCCGGAAUGGCCUUCAAAACUCCCAGCCUAGAGUUCGAGAGAGGUGAGUGGAAUUCCGAGUGUAGAGGUGAAAUUCGUAGAUAUUCGGAAGGAACACCAGUGGCGAAGGCGGCUCACUGGCUCGACACUGACGCUGAGGUGCGAAAGCGUGGGGAGCAAACAGG
rnacentral:rRNA from 1 species